CCUCCUUCUAAUCCACCAAUUUAGCGUUGAUGAAGACUCAACAGAGAGAUCCCAGCCUUCUUUCUACUUGCUGUAGCUCACAGUUACUCCCCACUGCAGAUAUGAAGCCUCUGUUCAUCUCAGUGCUGCUGGCUGCUCUGUGCCUUGAAUGCAGAACACAAAAAGACAACGUGCUGCAACCAGUAGGAGAUAAGACUGCUGCUGAAGGAGAGACUCUAACACUUGGCUGUCUAUAUAACAGCAGUACAACAAGUAAUUAUCUCUACUGGUACAAACAGGAUGGAAACAACAGCCCCAAGUUCAUCCUGAGUCGUGUUCAACAAGAUGAAGGGAACACAGCAGAUGAGUUCAGGGAGAGAUUUUCAUCUACACUGGAUUCCACCAUCAGAUCAGUUCCUCUGAAGAUCCAGAAGCUUCAUGUGUCUGACUCUGCUGUGUACUACUGUGCUCUGAGGCCCACAGUGACAGGAAACACCAAUGAUGCAGUAUCCCUGGCUCUGCAUCUGGCCCUGACACACCAACACAUGGACAGUGACGUUAGAAUGCUGUUCACAGACUUCAGCUCAGCAUUCAACACCAUCAUCCCACAGCAGCUCAUGGUAAAGCUCAGCCUUCUGGGCCUCAACACCUCCUCCUGGAACUGGCUGCUGGACUUCCCAACACAAAGGUUGUAA